CCACCAGGAUCACUGAGCUGCUGAGCGGAGAGGUUCCUAUAAGGUGUCAGGAUGUCGCUGUCUAUUUCUCCAUGGAGGAGUGGGAGUAUUUAGAAGAACACAAGGAUCUGUACAAGGACGUCAUGAUGGAGAAUCGCCAGUCCCUCACAUCACCGGAUGGAUCCAGUCAGAGAAAUCCACCAGAGAGAUGUGGAC